GUCACAGCAAAUCAUGAUGCUUCAAACAUCCCGCCAUGGAUGGAUCCACGGGAUGUGAGCAAUGCAUCAUGGUGGCGGGGGAGUGAGGAAGUGUCAAAUGGCUGGUUUGUUCCUGUUGAGACUACAUUCAUCAGGCCGGCCGGCGGAUAGAGACGUGGUCCGCAUCGGACCGGACACGUCACGAUGGACGGGCCAAUCUACGGAAACUUUGGAAAGGAAGCUAUUGGAGACAAGAAAUACGGAGCGACGCCGCUUCAACUUCCAUCCAACACAAAACCGAUGCCACUGCUUGAGGAAGUGCGUGUCGCUGGAUUGGUUUAGCCACGCCUGUUGGCGGCCCAUUGUCUCUACGACGACGGUGCACAACAACAGAACCAUGCAGCGUAAACGCCGUAAAUCCCCGCAGGGGCGACAACAACGAUGAAGAGGAGGAGUCCGGGGAGGAAGAUGCGGAGAGGCGGUUGUAGGGCGGAGCAGGGGGCCGAGCGGAGGCGGGGCCUGCUCAGGGGAGGGGGGCCGAGCGGUGGAAUACGACGGCGGUGGCAUCUCCACGCUCUCCGACACCUUUGUCCUCUGGAUGUUUCAGUUUGACGGCAAGAACUUGGUCCUUGUCCAGGUCAUCUGUACCUUUGCCGUGUAUGUAAAGAGCGAUAAUAUCUAUUAAUGAUAAUAAAUUGUAUUGACCAUCAGUUGUUCUACAUUUACUCUCUGGAACUUAACUUUCCCCUCCCAGCUUUCUCCGACAUGCAUCAUGUGUACACUGGCUGACACAUUGAAACCCGAGACUCUUGCACCGCUCCGUUAGAUUCAGCCUCCACAUACAUUUGUUACUUUUUCGGGAGAAACUUCAGCAUCUCCGUUAGAAUUUGAAUUAAAGGUAAGCGGAUUUUAAAGUCUGGCUCCGCCGCGUGUACGUGAUCGACUGCAGGGUCGGUGCCGUCUUUAAAAGGGAUUAAUUUUUUUUAUUGCGAGGCCACAAAAGGGAAUUGGAACCAGAAGUCAGAACAAUGAACGCUGUUGCACUUUCUUCUCCGGAGCUUAACGUGAGUCUGUUGAGGCUCGAAUAAAAUGAAGAAGACACAAGACUGAUUGGAAACAAUAUUAUAUCUGGCUCCGGGUUUUUCUUUUUAAAUAAUAGAAGGUUUUCUGCCGUAGCUUAGCUAAUUAAGCCGACACUGUAAAACUAUAUUAUGGGCUGAAGCAGCCCUGUAAAAAGAGUCUUAAAUAUAAACUUAAUAUUGUGCUAAAAGACAGCCUAGGCUAUAGCUCCAUGUCAAAAAACUUAGCAUCCUCAGCAGUUCUGAUAGAUUUAGACAUGGAAAUAGAAAUUAAACAAAACAUGAUUCUAGUAUUGCGCUUUAAUUAUGAGAAAAUCUUUUUUUUUUGUGCGAGAGUGGAUGCUCUGUCUGCAGGUGAGGAUCUUCUCCUCCCAGGGGCUGAAUCCAUGGGCUCGGCCUCUGGAGCUGCCGGCUGCUGAUUGGUUCCACAUCCAGUUUUCCUCCAUUUCAAAAUGCCCAGGUGGGUCGGACUCGACCUGUUCCUGUGUUGCUUCCCCUCUUGUCUCCAAACUGCUCAGAUCGUUUGUGGUUUGAGGAUGAGGGAUCAGCCAUUUGCUCUCAUGUUGACAGGGGGUAAGCAUGACACCGCACAGAGCAAUGCAACCUGGGUAACUACCAGUUUGUACUUUGAAAGUAGUGCGUCACAACCAUUGCAGCUCACGGCAAAGCACAUAAACACUCCGAUCCAUUUCUUCCCUCUUGGGCUUUUGGUUUCAUGCAACAACAAAGAAACCCUCGACCCUCCAACCUCUUCACAUGCAGUAGCGUUUUGGAUUUCAUGGCCUAUUUCCAUUCAUUCAUACAGGUGUAAUUUAAGUCUCAAGGGUUUUUACAUGUUUUUUUCACUAUCAACAUCUUAUUGAAAUACAUUUUCUUAAGAUUAAAAAAAUAUAUAAUCCCUCCAGAAUUUUCCAGCUACUAUGCAUCUUUUCUUUCUCUCUGGAUCUAUUCGUAGGCGAGUGCAGAUGACCCGGCAAAACUGGCGACCGGUCCAAUUGCAGCGAUCUUCCAGAUUCCACAGGAGGAGGUGAGGUGUGACUGUUCGUCACCGAAGCCCCCACUCGUACUCCCCUCGCGCCCUGUUACCUCAUUCACACUGUCCAAAACAUCAGCUCAUCUUGCUUAAGGAGUUGUGUGUUGUUGUUGCUGUUUUGUUUUUUUUAAAACUCAUUGCGGUUAAUCGUGUGGAGAUUAAUCGCCUGAUUAUCUGCCAUUACCGUAAGCAAUGUCACAUUAGAGACCAUGUUUUUCCCUCUUGGCCCGCGGCCCAGUUUGCCUCUGCAGAGGUCACAUGGGGAUGCGGCGGAGUCUUCCACGGGUGAAGAGGAAUCGCCAGACAGAAGGACGAUAGCUGCUUUCCUUCUUCCUAUAUGUCUUUGUUUGUGUGCACUUCAUUUUCUUUUUUUUGUCAAGAGUUUGUCGAAAAAAAACCCAGGCUGGAAAAAACAGAAGAUACAUUUUUUCGUGGAGGAAGCAUCUGGGCCAGGCCAAGUGAGACUCACAUCCGUGGGUGUUUAUUCAAAAUAAAGGCAGAAAACAAA